rnacentral:rRNA from 1 species
CGAACGCUGGCGGCAUGCCUAACACAUGCAAGUCGAACGAGACCUUCGGGUCUAGUGGCGCCCGGGUGCGUAACGCGUGGGAACCUGCCCUUAGGUUCGGAAUAACUCCCCGAAAGGGGUGCUAAUACCGGAUAAUGCCUUCGGACCAAAGAUUUAUCGCCUUUGGAUGGGCCCGCGUUGGAUUAGCUAGUUGGUAGGGUAAAAGCCUACCAAGGCGACGAUCCAUAGCUGGUCUGAGAGGAUGAUCAGCCACACUGGGACUGAGACACGGCCCAGACUCCUACGGGAGGCAGCAGUGGGGAAUAUUGGACAAUGGGCGAAAGCCUGAUCCAGCAAUGCCGCGUGAGUGAUGAAGGCCUUAGGGUUGUAAAGCUCUUUUACCCGGGAUGAUAAUGACAGUACCGGGAGAAUAAGCUCCGGCUAACUCCGUG